rnacentral:rRNA from 1 species
CUGGGGCUGGAGAAGGUCCCAAGGGUUCGGCUGUUCGCCGAUUAAAGUGGCACGUGAACUGGGUUCAGAACGUCGCAAGACAGUUCGGUCUCUAUCUGUUGUGAGCGUUAGAAACUUGAGUGGAUAUGACCUUAGUACGAGAGGACCGGGUCGUACGUACCUCUGGUGUACCUGUUGUGGUGCCAACCGCAGCGCAGGGUAUCUAUGUACGGACAGGAUAAGCGCUGAAAGCAUCUAAGUGCGAAGCCAACCACAAGAUUAGGUUUCUUUUAAGAGCCGUUGAAGACUACAACGUUGAUAGGCUGCAGGUGUAAAGGUGGUAACAUCAAAGCUGAGCAGUACUAAUAGCUCGUAAACUUUUAUUUU